CCUAAAUAAGGAAUUAAUAUAGUCAUCAGAACAAUCACCUAUCAUUACCUUGGGUUAAACCCUCUAAUUAUUUAACCCUUCACAUAAUCAAAGACAAAGCUGUAACAAAUAACCCUUCUAACACAAGAUAAAAUGCCCUAGCUCUAAUUCCAUAAAACCAACACCAAUCAUGAGAGAACCAAUCCUUUGCAGAAAACUAAGUUCUAUAACAAGCCCACCCGAAUGUGCCCAAUUCAUCAUUGUACUGAUUCUUUAUAUCACCCCCUUCAGAUAACUUACAAAUUCCUUAUUAAGACUACCAUCAUCAAAACAUUUCCCGUCAUAAGUUUAAUGGUAAAGAUAGCCACAAUGAGUUUUGGGAGCAUGGAGCAAGGGAUGGAUACUGAGUACUAGGGGAAGAGAAUCAUCCUCAAGGUAGUAUCUGAACCAAGGCUUUAGGGAUCAACAAUAUUGGGGUAGAGGAAAUAGGAUGAGAUAUAAAGGAAAUAAGAUAGAAAAUAUAAAAAAUAGGUUUGGUGAAUGGAAUGAUCAUGGUAGGGGUUUGAACACCAUUAAGUUCAUAAUACAAAAGUACAAAGGAAUUAGUGACCCG
rnacentral:lncRNA from 1 species